UAGAUUACAUGCUUGCAUUCAUGUUCACUUCCGAAGCGCUUAGUGUCUUCCUUCCCUUACUUACAUAUUAACCUCAAAUACCCCGCGCGACUUCAGCCAAGCUUUGCUGGAGGUACUUAACAAUGUCGGGUUCCCA
rfam:Tauraco erythrolophus contig14714, whole genome shotgun sequence.